UACGUAGGUCCCGAGCGUUGUUCGGAAUCACUGGGCGUAAAGGGUGCGUAGGCGGCGUGGUAAGUCAGAUGUGAAAUCCCGGGGCUCAACCCCGGAACUGCAUCCGAUACUGCCGUGCUUGAGGGUUGGAGAGGUAGCUGGAAUUAUCGGUGUAGCAGUGAAAUGCGUGGAUAUCGAUAGGAACACUCGUGGCGAAGGCGAGCUACUGGACAACAUCUGACGCUGAGGCUCGAAGGCUAGGGGAGCAAAAGGG
rnacentral:rRNA from 1 species